AGUAGAAUUGCUAGAUCAUAUGGUAAUUCUAUACUUAACUUUCUGAGGAACUGCUAAACUGUUUUCUGCAGCAGCUGCACUAUUUUAUAUUCCCACCAGCAAU
rnacentral:pre_miRNA from 1 species